ACUGGAUGUGGUGGUGCACACCUGUAAUCCCAGUGGCUCAGGAGGCUGAGGCAGGAGGACUCAAGUUUGAGGCCAGUCUCAGCAACUCAGUGAGGCCCUAAACAACUCAGUAAGAUCCCGUCUCUA
rnacentral:sRNA from 1 species